rnacentral:tRNA from 1 species
GGAGAGGUGCUCGAGUGGCUGAAGAGGCACGCCUGGAAAGCGUGUAUACUGUAACCCAGUAUCGAGGGUUCGAAUCCCUCUCUCUCCGCAA